GAUGAACGCUGGCGGCGUGCCUAAUACAUGCAAGUCGAGCGAACGGACGAGAAGCUUGCUUCUCUGAUGUUAGCGGCGGACGGGUGAGUAACACGUGGAUAACCUACCUAUAAGACUGGGAUAACUUCGGGAAACCGUAGCUAAUACCGGAUAAUAUUUUGAACCGCAUGGUUCAAAAGUGAAAGACGGUCUUGCUGUCACUUAUAGAUGGAUCCGCGCUGCAUUAGCUAGUUGGUAAGGUAACGGCUUACCAAGGCAACGAUGCAUAGCCGACCUGAGAGGGUGAUCGGCCACACUGGAACUGCGACACGGUCCAGACUCCUACGGGAGGCAGCAGUAGGGAAUCUUCCGCAAGGGGCGAAAGCCUGACGGAGCAACGCCGCGUGAGUGAUGAAGGUCUUCGGAUCGUAAAACUCUGUUAUUAGGGAAGAACAUAUGUGUAAGUAACUGUGCACAUCUUGACGGUACCUAAUCAGAAAGCCACGGCUAACUACG
rnacentral:rRNA from 1 species